UGGGGAAUAUUGGGCAAUGGAGGAAACUCUUACCCAGCAAUGCCGCGUGAGUGAAGAAGGUCUUCGGAUUGUAAAGCUCUUUGAUUGGGGACGAAUUAAUGACGGUACCCAAGGAACAAGCCCCGGCUAACUAUGUGCCAGCAGCCGCGGUAAUACAUAGGGGGCGAGCGUUGUCCGGAAUGACUGGGCGUAAAGGGUGUGUAGGCGGCUUCGCAAGUUGGAAGUGUAAUACCUAGGGCUUAACUCAGGUGCUGCUUCCAAAACUGCGAGGCUUGAGUGACGGAGAGGAAGAUGGAAUUCCUAGUGUAGCGGUGGAAUGCGUAGAUAUUAGGAGGAACACCAGAGGCGAAAGCGAUCUUCUGGACGAUAACUGACGCUGAGGCACGAAAGCGUGGGGAGCAAACAGG
rnacentral:rRNA from 1 species